GUUGCAUUAAAUUAAAAACCAGCAUUUUUGUUGACUCAAAUGCUAUACAGAUGAAUCCUAUCUAACUCUGAGCACAAGUCAGGUUUUCCAAGGAGAAGAAAGCAUCCUCUUAACUCUUUCCUGGCUUGUGGUGGUUUUGAAGGAAAGUAAAUAAUCCCCUCUUUAACAAUUUCAAGGGAAAUACCUGUGAAAGGCUUUGCACAGAUCGAACCCCAGAAUUUUCGUUGUGAGAAACUGCAGCAUUUCAAACAAGAUUUUUGUUUGGCACAGGUAGUCUAGAUGUCUUUUAC